GCAAGUCGAGCGGUAGAGAGGUGCUUGCACCUCUUGAGAGCGGCGGACGGGUGAGUAAAGCCUAGGAAUCUGCCUGGUAGUGGGGGAUAACGCUCGGAAACGGACGCUAAUACCGCAUACGUCCUACGGGAGAAAGCAGGGGACCUUCGGGCCUUGCGCUAUCAGAUGAGCCUAGGUCGGAUUAGCUAGUUGGUGAGGUAAUGGCUCACCAAGGCGACGAUCCGUAACUGGUCUGAGAGGAUGAUCAGUCACACUGGAACUGAGACACGGUCCAGACUCCUACGGGAGGCAGCAGUGGGGAAUAUCGGACAAUGGGCGAAAGCCUGAUCCAGCCAUGCCGCGUGUGUGAAGAAGGUCUUCGGAUUGUAAAGCACUUUAAGUUGGGAGGAAGGGCAUUAACCUAAUACGUUAGUGUUUUGACGUUACCGACAGAAUAAGCACCGGCUAACUCUGUGCCAGCAGCCGCGGUAAUACAGAGGGUGCAAGCGUUAAUCGGAAUUACUGGGCGUAAAGCGCGCGUAGGUGGUUCGUUAAGUUGGAUGUGAAAUCCCCGGGCUCAACCUGGGAACUGCAUUCAAAACUGUCGAGCUAGAGUAUGGUAGAGGGUGGUGGAAUUUCCUGUGUAGCGGUGAAAUGCGUAGAUAUAGGAAGGAACACCAGUGGCGAAGGCGACCACCUGGACUGAUACUGACACUGAGGUGCGAAAGC
rnacentral:rRNA from 1 species